rnacentral:ncRNA from 1 species
CGUUUGAAAGGGCAAAGCUACGGAAACGUAGUGACGCAAAGCUACAGGGGCUAAGGUUGUUCAACAACUAUGCCAGCCAGCUGCCGUU